rnacentral:rRNA from 1 species
GAUGAACGCCGGCGGCGUGCUUAACACAUGCAAGUCGAACGGUGAAAGAGGAGCUUGCUCCUCUGGAUCAGUGGCGAACGGGUGAGUAACACGUGAGUAACCUGCCCUUGACUCUGGGAUAAGCACUGGAAACGGUGUCUAAUACCGGAUACGAGCUUCAGCCGCAUGGCUAGGAGCUGGAAAGAAUUUCGGUCAAGGAU